rnacentral:rRNA from 1 species
GACGAAGGAUGCAAGCGUUAUCCGGAUUCAUUGGGUUUAAAGGGAGCGUAGGCGGACUGGUAAGUCAGUGGUGAAAUCUCUCAGCUUAACUGAGAAACUGCCAUUGAUACUGCCGGUCUUGAGUACAGAUGAUGUGGGCGGAGUAUGACAUGUAGUGGUGAAAUACUUAGAUAUGUCAUAGAACACCGAUUGCGAAGGCAGCUCACAAAACUGUAACUGACGCUGAGGCUCGAAAGUGCGGGGAUCAAACAGG